GACGAACGCUGGCGGCGUGCCUAAUACAUGCAAGUCGAACGGUCUUUUCUAUGGAAGCUUGCUUCCGCUGAGAAGAUAGUGGCGAACGGGUGAGUAACACGUGGGUAACCUGCCCAUAAGAGGGGGAUAACAUCCGGAAACGGGUGCUAAUACCGCAUAGUUUUCUUGAUUGCAUGAUCGAGAAAGGAAAGACGGCCUUUGGGCUGUCACGUAUGGAUGGACUCGCGGCGUAUUAGUUAGUUGGUGAGGUAACGGCUCACCAAGACGAUGAUACGUAGCCGACCUGAGAGGGUGAUCGGCCACAUUGGGACUGAGACACGGCCCAAACUCCUACGGGAGGCAGCAGUAGGGAAUCUUCCGCAAUGGACGAAAGUCUGACGGAGCAACGCCGCGUGAGUGAAGAAGGUUUUCGGAUCGUAAAACUCUGUUUUCAGGGACGAAUGUGUGGAUUGUAAAUAAUGAUCCAUAGUGACGGUACCUGACAAGAAAGCCACGGCUAACUACGUGCCAGCCGCCGCCGUAAGAC
rnacentral:rRNA from 1 species